UACAGAGGUCUCAACCGUUGUUCGGAUUCAUUGGGCGUAAAGGGUGCGUAGGCGGUCGCGCAAGUCGGAUGUGAAAUCUCAGGGCUCAACCCUGAAACUGCAUUCGAUACUGCGUGGCUAGAGUGCUGGAGAGGAGACUGGAAUUUACGGUGUAGCAGUGAAAUGCGUAGAUAUCGUAAGGAAGACCAGUGGCGGAAGGCGAGUCUCUGGACAGCAACUGACGCUGAGGCACGAAGGCCAGGGGAGCGAACGGG
rnacentral:rRNA from 1 species